rnacentral:ncRNA from 1 species
UUAAAUUCUAUGAAGAGAAAAAGUAGGAUAUAUUGUUGUUCCAAAGAGAGUUGGUGAUUUGCUGAAAGCCAAUGUUCGAUGUAUAUUUGAAAAUCAUCUCUGAGAAGUAAAGCUGAAAGUUUAGUAAGUUUUAUCGGAAAUUUCACCGUUAAAAGAAAAGCGUAUUAUUUAGUACGUAAUUGAGUGCUAUGAAAAUAUAGUUUAGUUUUAUAUUUUUAUAGAAUUAGGGUGGUAACGCGAAUAUACCUCGUCCCUUUU